AGAACAUCUUAGUCAGAUGGAAGACUCGCUAAAAGAGUCAAUUAUCCAAAUCCGUUUGCAAAAGGAGAAUUUUGGAAUGUGCCAACUUAUGCCUCUAGAAUGCAAUAGCCAGGUAAUGCACUGGCCAUGUAAUGAAAUCUUAGCUGAGGGAAAUCUCAUUGGAGUUGCUUGCCUGACAGUUUCAAAAUGGAAUGGCUUUACCUUUGAUGAUGAAUGGAAUGCAAAAGGCUCAACCAUUAUCAUGGCUUCCAAACAAUGGAAAUCAACAUCUGAUAUUGUCCAACGAGCAAAACAUUUCCCCCCAAAGAGAUAUAGAAUGCUCAACCAGUGCGUCCCUACCAGGCUAUUCUGGUUACUAUGAUACUGACAAACAUGUUGAAAUUGGAAUUCCAGGAGCACUAGAUAACCCAGGGCGGGAUGGUGGUGCAUUGAGCAAUUUAAGUAACAAUACAUGCUUAGGCGUACAAGUCAAUGAGCAAUUCUCAUGCCCUCCAUUUAGUAGUUUAAAUUU
rnacentral:misc_RNA from 1 species